rnacentral:tRNA from 1 species
GUUUUUUUAGUAUAAUGUAUAGUUGGCUUCCAACCAACAGGACUAAGUGAAAUCUUAGAAAAAACA